GUUCAUACUUUUAUUCCACAAUCAGAGAGAAAGAAACAGAGAGAGAGUGCAGGACAGACAGACAGGUGACAGUCUCAGGUGUAUACAUUGCUACAAAACAGCACAAGAGAAGGAGGAUUUAGUGUUUGUGUUAUUACGAGUGCUAAACAAGAAGAGUUCCCAGAUGGUACAGUGGACACAUGUGUGACUCCUGUGAUUAAAGCAUCUUUCUUUCAGCUUAACGAGUGAACCGUCAGCUCGUUCAAACACAUGUUAAAGUCCGUUUGGCUCGACACCACCGAACAGAGGCAGCAAUAUAACAUAGCUAACAUUAACAGUGCAGUGAAUCCUGCUUGUGCCGUGAUAUUCAGGACUGCAAACCGAGCAGCAUCACUGACUUUCAGCUUGUUGUGUGUUUGUGGAUAUAUGACUGACUUUAAUUACGCAUAAAAUCAUCACAUUCUCUGUAGGAUUAAGGUCAACUAUCGAACGGCGUAUAAAGUAAAGGCUUUAAAACAAAGUAAACACUGAAAGUACAAACAUCGCUAAUGUCACAUAACUUUGCCGGCAUGUGGCCAACAGUAAUAUUUUAAUAUUCUUUUUAAUUAAACAUUUGCACAUAAAUAAGUGACAUAAUAUUCAGUACUUACUUUUGAAAGUUUACUCUUUGGCCGCCCCGCUUCCACUUGUUUGAAGUGUCUCCCAGUCCCAGUCCACUUGUUAGCAUGUUUUGGUUCGUGCAACUGGUCCGUCGGGUUAUUGUCUCCCCAGAAACAUUUCCAUUGUGUUGUGUGUGCUUUUGCAGCGUUUUUCUUUUUGCAGCAUUUUUCUUUUUGCAAGUGUUUUUCUUUUUUUGCAGUCUGUUUGGCCUCUCAGGGCCACCGUAUGUUCCUGCUCAAACACUGUCAGGAGUUUUCCUGUAUUGCAACUCAGGUCAGAAUAAAAACGCUCAGACAGGUUUAACGUGUACACGGGUGAGACUCAGGGAGACUCGCACCCUGCAGUAAAAAAAAACAGUCUUUAUUCACAGAGAUACAGGAAGAGAUAAAAUAGACCCGUGCAGGCUUCCUGUGGAGCGCAGAGUGUAACUUCCCCAUUUAGGAGUCUGCACAGAGUGUGACUUCCCCAUUUAAGCUGAAUACUGAAAGAGCAAACACAUUUAGAUAAAGAAACGUACUUUUAAGCAUAACAUAAUAAAAAUCCCAAAAUCCUGAAAUCUUUUGACAAACACAGUGGUGUUUUUGAGUAGCUUAUCUGCUUAGCAAUUUAAUUUAAAACUUUUAGAUACAUUCCUUUUUCAUAGUAUAAUCUUCACGUGCUUCAUCCGAAGC
ensembl:lncRNA